GAAGCAGGAAUUCCUCAGCCCCCAAAGCUGCUCCAGCCUCUACAGGCACUUUAGGACUGGUAAUUGGUGGUGCCCCAAAGACUGAUGCUAUGAUGGCCAAUGUGGAAAUAUAACUGCAUGGAUUAAAGGCCUGAAUGGACUCCGUGGCAUCUGUGAGUGGGACUUCGUAGGUUGACAAAUAUAAUGAAACAGGAGAUUCAUUUACACAAAGUACAGUUGGUUUAAAUGUUACAGUUAUAUAAAGGUAUCAUAAAUAUAAAUGUAAUUGAAUAAUAAUUGUAUUUGAUAUUUACAGCUAAAAUCUAUUAUACCUUUUCUUUCUUUCUUUUUUUGCUAUUUUUUUCACUUAAAAACACUUCAUGCGUUUGUUUGUUUUUUAAAUUUGACAGUGCCUGUGGUUUUCUUCCAUUUCCCUCUCCCUAUUUUAAGAGCAAUAAAAGGGGUUAAAAAUG